rnacentral:piRNA from 2 species
UGGCCUUUACUGUGAAGCUGAGCUGC